UGAGAAGAUGGGCCACCCAAAAAGUUAUGCGAGCCUGAAAAUCCCCAAAAUUGAGAAGCUCCAACUCGAGCCAAGAAGUGCAGUCAGUAUUGAGAAAAUAAUAGGAGAUCUUCGAAGAAAACCCUCAUUCCUCAACGUCCAUGCUUCUCUUCAACGUAGUAAGUAACUAAGAAUUCAAAGUAAAAGAAGAGAGAAAGCGAUGGCAAACAAGAUUGUGGCAGUGUUGGUGGUAUGCAUGGUUCUUUUUGCUGCGGUGCAAUUCUCCGAGGCAGCAGAUGAAGGUGCUGAUCCUAAGUACGUAGAAUGUCUCUACAAGUGCGGGGACGAUUGCAAGGGUGGGGAGGAAAAGUCUGCCUGUGACGCCAAGUGCGACCAGGAGUGCAAGGAUAAGGUCAAACUUGGUUAAUACCUGAGCAGUAGCGGACAAUAAAGCUGAAGUCAUGGACAACAACCACGUACCUUGAACGAGUACAGAGAGAUUAACCAAUAAAGCAACAACAGUACAGCUAGAGGAAGUUCCUUACAUAUGUUUCUCAUUCCCAUGUCGUAAAUGGUGC